rnacentral:rRNA from 1 species
UACGGAGGGUGCAAGCGUUAUCCGGAUUUACUGGGUUUAAAGGGUGCGUAGGUGGGUUGGUAAGUCAGUGGUGAAAUACUUUCGCUUAACGAAGGAACUGCCAUUGAUACUACCAGUCUUGAAUACAGUGGAGGUAGGCGGAAUGCGUCAUGUAGCGGUGAAAUGCUUAGAUAUGACGCAGAACACCAAUUGCGAAGGCAGCUUACUACCCGAAUAUUGACACUGAGGCACGAAAGCGUGGGGAUCAAACAGG